rnacentral:rRNA from 1 species
GACGAACGCUGGCGGCGUGCUUAACACAUGCAAGUCGAACGGAAAGGCCCUGCUUUUGUGGGGUGCUCGAGUGGCGAACGGGUGAGUAACACGUGAGUAACCUGCCCUUGACUUUGGGAUAACUUCAGGAAACUGGGGCUAAUACCGGAUAGAAGCUCCUGCUGCAUGGUGGGGGUUGGAAAGUUUCGGCGGUUGGGGAUGGACUCGCGGCUUAUCAGCUUGUUGGUGGGGUAGUGACUUACCAAGGCUUUGACGGGUAGCCGGCCUGAGAGGUUUACCGGCGACAUUGGGACUGCGAUACGGCCCAGACUCCUACGGGAGGCAGCAGUGGGGAAUAUUGCACAAUGGGCGGAAGCCUGAUGCAGCAACGCCGCGUGCGUGAUGACGGCCUUCGGGUGGUAAACCGCUGUCGCCUGUGACGAAGCGUGAGUGACGGUAAUGGGUAAAGAAGCACCGGCUAACUACGUG